AAGUCGUAACAAGGUUUCCGUAGGUGAACCUGCGGAAGGAUCAUUUCCAAAAAAAAAAACAAACAAAACCAAAAACAACCAGUUCUCCUUUGAUUUGAAUUUUUUUCUGUCUUCGGAUGGAGAAAAGGAGAUGAAAGAGGGGAAGUGUAUGUGAACUGUUGAAAACCUUUUCCAAUUUUUGUAUUUUUCGGACUUGUCUCUCUAGGGAGAUGAAGAAAGGGAAAUACAAAUUUUUACAAACCAAUUGAAACUCCAACACGAUUUCCUUUUUGUUUGUUUCGUCUCUUGUUAAAAAGAGACAGAGACACAAUGAAAAAGUAAUCAAGUUGAUCUUAUUAUCUUUUUUUACAACAACAAUCAAAAAAUUUGAUAUGACAACUUUUAACGGUGGAUCUCUUGGCUCGU
rnacentral:misc_RNA from 1 species